GGUUGUCUUAUUGUAGUGGGUCCCACAGAGUCUGAUAUUAUGUGAUAAAACUAUAAUAAUUCAUGCAGAAGCCAGACUAUCUACAACAGCUAGCGAAGCUCUGUUGUAUCUCUGACCACAUGUGGAAUAAUCAGACCCCUGGCUCAAACCUUCAUGCUUAGGGAAGCAGAUAUCAAUUUUGCCUAUGGGGCAGGUCAACAGAAAGAAAAAUUACCAGGGAGAGUCAUCGUAUCUGGAAAAAGGCACAUAAACAACUGGCAAACCCUUUCUACAAAGGAUAUGAGGGUACCUAUUUAGAACAUAAAAGAAGAGGGAAUUGCCUGUUAUGUGUUCUGAAAUGAUCCCUUUUCAUUACAACUUCAGAAUUUUUUCUCUCUGGGGAUCUCUGACUUCAAACCAUGAAGAAAGGGAGAAACGACAUCAUACUAUUUCCAUUAAAA